rnacentral:rRNA from 1 species
AAAGAAACCAACAGGGAUUGCCCUAGUAACGGCGAGUGAAGCGGCAACAGCUCAAAUUUGAAAUCUGGCCCUCGGGUCCGAGUUGUAAUUUGUAGAGGAUGCUUUUGGUGAGGUACCUUCCGAGUUCCCUGGAACGGGACGCCAUAGAGGGUGAGAGCCCCGUCUGGUUGGAUACCGAGCCUCUGUAAAGCUCCUUCGACGAGUCGAGUAGUUUGGGAAUGCUGCUCUAAAUGGGAGGUAUAUGUCUUCUAAAGCUAAAUACCGGCCAGAGACCGAUAGCGCACAAGUAGAGUGAUCGAAAGAUGAAAAGCACUUUGAAAAGAGAGUUAAAAAGUACGUGAAAUUGUUGAAAGGGAAGCGCUUAUGACCAGACUUGGGCUUGGUUGAUCAUCCUGGGUUCUCCCUGGUGCACUCUUCCAGUUCAGGCCAGCAUCAGUUCGCUGCGGGGGAUAAAAGUUUUGGGAAUGUGGCUCCCUCGGGAGUGUUAUAGCCCAUUGCAUAAUACCCUGCUCCGGACUGAGGUUCGCGCAUCUGCAAGGAUGCUGGCGUAAUGGUCAUCAGCGACCCGUCUUGAAACACGGACCAAGGAGUCGUCUUCGUAUGCGAGUGUUCGGGUGUUAAACCCCUACGCGUAAUGAAAGUGAACGCAGGUGAGAGCUUCGGCGCAUCAUCGACCGAUCCUGAUGUUCUCGGAUGGAUUUGAGUAAGAGCAUACGGGGCCGGACCCGAAAGAAGGUGAACUAUGCCUGUAUAGGGUGAAGCCAGAGGAAACUCUGGUGGAGGCUCGCAGCGGUUCUGACGUGCAAAUCGAUCGUCAAAUAUGGGCAUGGGGCGAAAGACUAAUCGAACCUUCUAGUAGCUGGUUUCCGCCGAAGUUUCCCUCAGGA